rnacentral:rRNA from 1 species
UACGUAGGGUGCAAGCGUUAAUCGGAAUUACUGGGCGUAAAGCGUGCGCAGGCGGUUUUGUAAGUCUGUCGUGAAAUCCCCGGGCUCAACCUGGGAAUUGCGAUGGAGACUGCAAGGCUAGAAUCUGGCAGAGGGGGUAGAAUUCCACGUGUAGCAGUCGAAAUGCGUAGAGAUGUGGAGGAACACCGAUGGCAAAGGCAGCCCCUGGGUCAAGAUUGACGCUCAUGCACGAAAGCGUGGGGAGCGAAACAGG